CGAGAAACGAGGAAAAAGUCUUAUCAGUGCAGUCAUGCUGAAGCGAAUUAAAUCCUCCAGAUUUUCCUGUUUGCGUACUUUUCCAACACUUUUUUUGUUUCCUUAUGUUAAACACACACCCGAACUAUUAUAUUUCUCUGACUACACCUAUUAUCUUUUUAAAUCAUCGCUUCCUAAUAGCUUUUACUGUAAGGGGGAAAUCCGAAGGUCUUAAACUUGUGUUGCAUAAAAGUACAGGAUUGACGCCUUUGGUACUAAACUUAUACUUACAGAGCGACUUACAUUUAAUCUCAUUUAUACAAGUGGAGGGUUAGGGGCCUUGCUCACGGGCCCAACAAUGGCAGCUUGGCAGUGCUGUGAUUUAAACUCAUGACCUUCCAAUCAGUAUUCCAACACCUUAACCACUGACACACCCCUGCCCAGAAAAAGUUUAAAGCAACUUGAACUAACGUGCCCGUACAUUCACAGGCAGAGAACCGAAUCCGUACGAAGUCCCUACGAUCACAAUAUCGGAUAGCAUCGUCGCGUGCAAGUUCUGGGCGAGUCGAGACACAGCUUGUUUAUGGGCACGGUUCUUUUGGUAGAACACGUAGAACACGUAGAACAGGUGUGUUACUGUGAGAUUUACAGAAACACCUUGGCCUUAAGUCAACAUAGGACACAUCUGAUCCCGAUCUAGUCCGACUGCUGGUCACGUCUAUUAGAACCAGUUUUAAAGAAGAGCCUAGACAAGAGGCCACGUUUACAGUUAAAUGCUACGUUCAAGAAAGAAAAAGAAAGAAAGAAAGAAAGGGGAAAAGGGUCACGGGGGAACCUGGAGUCUAUCCCAGGGAGUAUCGGGGCACAAGGCGGGGUACACCCUGGACAGUCACAUACACAUUCAUACACUACGGACACUUUAGACACGCCAAUCAGCCUACCAUGCAUGUCUUUGGACUGGGGGAGGAAACCGGAGUACCCGGAGGAAACCCCCGCAGCACAGGGAGAACAUGCAAACUCCACACACACACACAGGAUCACGGUGGGAAUCGAACCCCCGACCCUGGAGGUGUGAGGCGAACGUGCCAACCACUAACCCACCGUGCUCCCUUUUAUUUAUCAUUUUAGGCACAAAAAAAUAAAAAAUAAUAAUUAAUAGGAAAAAAAAACUAAUGAAUCGGAAAUAUAAAAAUAAUAAAAGGGUUCUCAGGACACGUCAUGGUUUCCUCAUGAACCAAAUGUAAUAUAUAAUGUGUCAGUCUUUAAUAAAUAAAAAAUGGUUAGCCUUGAGAAGUGACUGAUUAAUGAUAGAAGAGGAAAUAAAGAGUUUGCUGUUAUAGGAAUAUAAUCCACUUCCAGGUGGUAAUGGCAACUCUGGGUUAUCCCCACGGAUUAGUUUCCUAAAACCGCACCCCCCAGUUGUGUUGGAUUCCUUUCUCAUUUCAUGCCGUAUAAUUGCAUUAAUAUUCAUUCAUCUACAGUCUGUCAUAUGUGGUCACGUCAAAUGACUAGAUUAAGUGCGAUAAUUGCUCAUUCUACCUUCCUGUAAAAUGAACAGUCGUGCUUAUGCAACUUUUGAUUCGUCAUUCAAGCUAGACGACUACAUCAUUAAAAGUCAUUUAAUUAAUAAUCGAGUUGUCCAGCAUUCCAGUUUGGAGUCUAAGUCUUGAGGAAUUCAACAUUCAGAGCAUUACAAUGCCUCCACCAUAUUUGAACUUAAAUUUCUCAUAUAUUCUCAUAAAACUCAUAUAUUCAAAUGUUUUCAUAUUAAUAAUAAGUUACUGUUAUCAUGGGGUUGAGAUGUGCAGGAUUGGGGAUUAGGUUCAUUGCAAAUG
ensembl:lncRNA